GGUUCGAUCCUGGCUCAGAUUGAACGCUGGCGGGAUGCUUUACACAUGCAAGUCGAACGGCAGCACGGACUUCGGUCUGGUGGCGAGUGGCGAACGGGUGAGUAAUGUAUCGGAACGUGCCUAGUAGCGGGGGAUAACUACGCGAAAGCGUAGCUAAUACCGCAUACGCCCUUCGGGGAAAGCGGGGGACCUUCGGGCCUCGCACUAUUAGAGCGCCGAUAUCGGAUUAGCUAGUUGGUGGGGUAACGGCUCACCAAGGCGACGAUCCGUAGCUGGUUUGAGAGGACGACCAGCCACACUGGGACUGAGACACGGCCCAGACUCUACGGAGGCAGCAGUGGGGGAAUUUUGGACAAUGGGGGAAACCCUGAUCCAGCCAUCCCGCGUGUGCGAUGAAGGCCUUUCAAGUUGUAAAGCACUUUGGCAGAGAAAGAAACGGCACGGGAUAAUACCCCGUGCAACUGACGGUACCUGCAGAAUAAGCACCGGCUAACUACGUGCCAGCAGCCGGCGGUAAUACGUGGGUGCAAAGCGUUAAUCGGAAUUACUGGGCGCAUGCGCAGGCGGUUCGGAAAGAAAGAUGUGAACCUGUAGCUUAACUUUGAACUUGCAUUUUUAACUACCGAGCUAGGAGUGUGUCAGAGGGAGGUGGAAUUCCGCGUGUAGCAGUGAAAUGCGUAGAUAUGCGGAGGAACACCGAUGGCGAAGGCAGCCUCCUGGGAUACCGACGCUCAUGCACGAAAGCGUGGGGAGCAAACAGGAUUAGAUACCCUGGUAGUCCACGCCUCAAACGAUGUCAACUAGCUGUUGGGGAGCCUUCGGGCCUGGUAGCGCAGCUAACGCGUAGUUGACCGCCUGGGGAGUACGGUCGCAAGAUUAAAACUCAAAGGAAUUGACGGGGACCCGCACAAGCGGUGGAUGACGUGAUUAAUUCGAUGCAACGCGAAAAACCUUACCUACCCUUGACAUGUCUGGAAUCCCGAAGAGAUUUGGGAGUGCCGCAAGAGAACCGGAACACAGGUGCUGCAUGGCUGUCGCUGGGGCUCGUGUCGUGAGAUGUUGGGUUAAGUCCCGCAACGAGCGCAACCUUUGUCAUUAGUUGCUACGAAAGGGCACUCUUAAUGAGACUGCCGGUGACAAACCGGAGGAAGGUGGGGAUGACGUCAAGUCCUCAUGGCCCUUAUGGGUAGGGCUUCACACGUCAUACAAUGCACGACAGAGGGUCGCUAACCCGCGAGAGGGAGCCAAUCCUGAAACCCGAUCGUAGUCCGGAUCGCAGUCUGCAACCUGGACUGCGUGAAGUCGGAAUCGCUAGUAAUCGCGGAUCAGCAUGUCGCGGUGAAUACGUUCCCGGGUCUUGUACACACCGCCCGUCACACCAUGGGAGUGGGUUUUACCAGAAGUAGUUAGCCUAACGUAAGGAGGGCGAUUACCACGGUAGGAUUCAUGACUGGGGUGAAGUCGUAACAAGGUAG
rnacentral:rRNA from 1 species